GAGAGCGGUGUGAUGGGAGACUAUCACGCACCGUUCGCAGGGCGGCAGUCGACGCAAGAAGACGAGGCCGACCCAAC
rfam:Blumeria graminis f. sp. hordei DH14, WGS project CATH01000000 data, contig: 011404